rnacentral:rRNA from 1 species
UACGUAGGGUGCAAGCGUUGUCCGGAAUUAUUGGGCGUAAAGAGCUCGUAGGCGGUCUGUUGCGUCGGCUGUGAAAACCCGAGGCUCAACCUCGGGCCUGCAGCCGAUACGGGCAGACUAGAGUUCGGCAGGGGAGACUGGAAUUCCUGGUGUAGCGGUGAAAUGCGCAGAUAUCUGGAGGAACACCGGUGGCGAAGGCGGCAUCCUGGACCGGUAUUGACGCUGAUGCGCGAAAGCCAGGGGAGCCAAAGCGGG